UGUUAGUAGAAAUCUACAGUAGGAACAUAGGAUUCAGUGGGAUUAGAUAUUUAGGCUUGGUCCUGCAAACACAUAACCAUGUAUCUAAGCAGGUGAGUACUUUCCAGAUACUUAAACAGCUGGGAAUGUGUUUUGUGGAUUGUGGCCUUCUCACCUGCAGCCGGUUUCCUGGAAGAGUCCUGAUUCUGUAAUUAUUUUUCUGAUCUUUCAGUAGCUGUGUUUCCAUUAAAUAGUGCUAGUUCAUACCUAUCUUCCAUAGGAACUUUUUCAUUCUUACAUUCCAGAACACUCCAGAAAGAAGCUGUAGGUAUUCUUUUCCCAUUUUACUGGCAAUUUAAGUAUUUUAAUCACAUUCAGUGGUGCAGAAAAGCUCUCAAGUGACAGACUUCAAAGCUGAUGCUCUUUCUUUAUCCACCACACCAGUGCAGCAAAAGCACUGACAGCAGAAGCUUCCUCCCUCCAUUUUCCUGCACCUAUGUCUGAAACCUGCACUGGAGGGCCAGAAAGCAGCUCAGAUUCCAUUGGGCAGUCUAUCCUUGGAGUCUCUAUUUAAGAAUGUCAACAACAUGGCCCUUACUGCGGGUGGCAUUUCAUGUGAUACAUCCAUUUGAUGGAAACCACCAAAUUCAUGUUGCAUAGAUCACAAGCAGCCAUCAGGGGAUGACAACAUCCAGUCACUUCUGAUAUGAGCAUUAAUCCUGCAGGUUGUGCAUGUAGGAAUGGUUCCAUGCCAGUAUAGAACCACAUGGAAGUCAGUGGUACCCUGUGCUGGUACAGUGGUGUGUCUAUAUGUGAAAAUCUGCCAAAUGGGAUCCUACACUAGAAAUUAUUUACUUGAAAAAAAAGCUCCCCUAUUCCCAAUCUCCCAAAAUAUAUAGGUUAGAUUUUUAACUGUUUGGCAUCCACAAUUAAAGUCCAAAAGCACUUAGCAUCCAGGAAACAUUCAAUAAAUAUACUGGAUACUGAAAAUUUGGACACUUGCUGUGGUGCUGAAACAGGAGUUGAACUUUUCCAGAAACCUGGAAUUAAAUGUACUUUGCUAUAUUUUGGCAAAAAACCCAACAGGUGCAACACUUUGUAUGCUUUCUCCUUAUUUAAGGAAGAACAGUUAAAAAAUAAGUGUAGUCUGAAAACCAGAAGGUGAGAGACCAGGAGUACAGACAAACAUUCUCUUUAUUGAGCUACACAUGAAUUUUCCAUUAGUCAGAGAAAGAGAUUGGCAGUGUCUAAUAUAUCACAGAAACCUCACUGAUUGGUAAUAGAAAGGCUUAGAAAGACCUGGCGCUUUAUGUAUAUAUAUUUUUUUUAGUUUCCUCUUUAUUUAUUCAUUUUAUUUUAAACAGGUGUGACUGGUUUUCUUCAGCAAAGGUAACUCUUAAAAGUGAAACUGUGAAGACAUCUGAUUACUAAUCAAAGUAGAAAUGAUGAAGGAUUGGUCAUGAAAACUGUGGCUUCAAUGUAAACACUACAUUCGAUUAUGUUUUUUUAUAGUUUUUGUGGUUUUUGUGUGUGUUUUUUAAAAUUUUUUAAAUAAUUUUCUUUCUUUCUUUUUUGUUUUUUUUUGUUGUUUUUUAAAUUAUUUUUGCAGCACAAACAUCCCCACAUGAGAGAGAAAAAACAUUCACUAAAAGGAAGGAUCGGAGGAGGGAAAAAGCAGCACAAAAAGCAUUCACUGGAAAGAGUUAAAAAUUAAAAAAAACAAAACAAAAAAUACCCCAAACAAAACUAUCCUCCCCAAAGCCCACAAAUCAACCCCCAAAAUAAAUAAAGAAGAGGAAGCCUAUAUGCUUCUAAAUGUAAAGACUCAGCUAAAACCAGAUCUACAGCAUUCUACGGAAACACACAGCCACCAUUCCAUGUUCAUAACAUUAUACAUCGACUCAAUAAGGAAGGCUGUGUCUUAUACAAAGGCCAAAAGGUCAUGCUACCGGUAAGGAGAACGUCAACAGGAGAGUCCGUGAAGUGGUC